rnacentral:rRNA from 1 species
AGUGAACGCUGGCGGCGUGCUUAACACAUGCAAGUCGAACGAGAACGGAUUAUAGCUUGCUAUAAUUGUCAGCUAAGUGGCGCACGGGUGAGUAAUGUAUAGGUAAUAUGCCUCUUACUAAGGGAUAACAAAUGGAAACGUUUGCUAAUACCUUAUACUCCUUAUUAACAGAAGUUAAUAAGGGAAAGAUUUAUUGGUAAGAGAUUAGCCUGUAUUGUAUCAGUUAGUUGGUGGGGUAAUGGCCUACCAAGACUAUGACACAUAACUGGUUUGAGAGGAUGAUCAGUCACACUGGAACUGAGACACGGUCCAGACUCCUACGGGAGGCAGCAGUGGGGAAUAUUGCACAAUGGACGAAAGUCUGAUGCAGCAACGCCGCGUGGAGGAUGACACAUUUCGGUGCGUAAACUCCUUUUAUAUGAGAAGAUAAUGACGGUAUUAUAUGAAUAAGCACCGGCUAACUCCGUGCCAGCCGCCGCUGUAA